rnacentral:rRNA from 1 species
CCUACGGGUGGCUGCAGUGGGGAAUAUUGCACAAUGGGGGAAACCCUGAUGCAGCGACGCCGCGUGAGCGAAGAAGUAUUUCGGUAUGUAAAGCCCUAUCAGUCGGGAAGCAAAUGCCGGUACCUGACUAAGAAGCUCCGGCUAAAUACGUGCCAGAAGCCGCGGUAAUACGUAUGGAGCAAGCGUUAUCCGGAUUUACUGGGGGUAAAGGGAGCGUAGGCGGUAAGGCAAGUCUGAUGUGAAAGGCCAGGGCUCAACCCUGGGACUGCAGUGGAAACUGUUUAACUGGAGUGUGGGAGAGGUAAGUGGAAUUCGUGGUGUAGCGGUGAAAGGCGUAGAGAUCAAGAGGAACACCAGUGGCGAAGGCGGCCUGCGGGACGAUGACUGACGCUGAGGCUCGAAAGCGUGGGGAGCAAACAGGAUUAGAUACCCGGGUAGUC